GAUGAACGCUGGCGGCGUGCCUAACACAUGCAAGUCGAGCGAUUUACUUCGGUAAAGAGCGGCGGACGGGUGAGUAACGCGUGGGUAACCUGCCCUAUACACACGGAUAACAUACCGAAAGGUAUGCUAAUACGGGAUAAUAUAAGAGAUUCGCAUGGAUUUCUUAUCAAAGCUGAGGCAGUAUAGGAUGGACCCG
rnacentral:rRNA from 1 species